CAUGCCGUAAACGUUGGGCACUAGGUGUGGGACUCAUUCCACGAGUUCCGUGCCGCAGCUAACGCAUUAAGUGCCCCGCCUGGGGAGUACGGCCGCAAGGCUAAAACUCAAAGGAAUUGACGGGGGCCCGCACAAGCGGCGGAGCAUGCGGAUUAAUUCGAUGCAACGCGAAGAACCUUACCAAGGCUUGACAUAUGCCGAAAACUCAUGGAGACAUGGGGUCCGCAAGGGCGGUAUACAGGUGG
rnacentral:rRNA from 1 species